GACGAACGCUGGCGGCGUGCUUAACACAUGCAAGUCGAACGGAAAGGCCCUGCUUUUGUGGGGUGCUCGAGUGGCGAACGGGUGAGUAACACGUGAGUAACCUGCCCUUGACUUUGGGAUAACUUCAGGAAACUGGGGCUAAUACCGGAUAGGAGCUCCUGCUGCAUGGUGGGGGUUGGAAAGUUUCGGCGGUUGGGGACGGACUCGCGGCUUAUCAGCUUGUUGGUGGGGUAGUGGCUUACCAAGGCUUUGACGGGUAGCCGGCCUGAGAGGGUGACCGGCCACAUUGGGACGGAGAUACGGCCCAGACUCCUACGGGAGGCAGCAGUGGGGAAUAUUGCACAAUGGGCGGAAGCCUGAUGCAGAAACGCCGCGUGCGGGAUGACGGCCUUCGGGUUGUAAACCGCUUUCGCCUGUGACGAAGCGUGAGGGACGGUAAUGGGUAAAGAAGCACCGGCGAACUACGU
rnacentral:rRNA from 1 species